UACGUAGGGUGCGAGCGUUAAUCGGAAUUACUGGGCGUAAAGCGUGCGCAGGCGGUGAUGUAAGACAGAUGUGAAAUCCCCGGGCUCAACCUGGGAACUGCAUUUGUGACUGCAUCGCUGGAGUACGGCAGAGGGGGAUGGAAUUCCGGCGUGUAGCAGUGAAAUGCGUAGAUAUGCGGAGGAACACCGAUGGCGAAGGCAAUCCCCUGGGCCUGUACUGACGCUCCAUGCACGAAAGCGUGGGGAGCAAACAGG
rnacentral:rRNA from 1 species